UCAUUUCCUUCCUAAUCUUAAUUAUUCUCUCUCUACUUAUAAAUAUUCACCUAUUGUUAUAAUAAUUAUAAUAAAGAAGGGGAAUGAAGAGUUGCAAGGUAAUUAAUUAUGAGAGAAAUGUUCACUUUAUUGCUAUAUAAUUAUGAUAAUAAAAUAUAAAGAGAAUGAAGAGUUGCAAGGGUAAUAAAUUUUGAGAGCUAUAAUAUAAAAUAAAGAGAAUGAAGAGUUGCGAGGGUAAUAAAUUUGGAGAGCUAUAUAUAAUAUUUGUGUAGCAAAGAGGUGGCCAGCCGAUGGUCAUUAUUUUUGCAAAAAUGCAUGAUUAUUAAAUAAAAUUUUCAUUUUUCUCUAAAUACAUUAGUUGAUUACUUAUUACUUUCAUUGUAUUUUUUUGCUUUUUACAGAAGAAAAAUGUGUAUAAGUUCUAAAAGUUCAUACGGAGCAUGCAAUGAUGGAAAUGGAUAUUGGAAAUUUUCACGGAUCGGAGGUUGAAAUCCAUCUAUUCACAAAGUUAGUUUUUAACAUUAUCUAAUAUAUUUUCAUAUUUUGAGAAAAUUCUCUUUUAAUAUUUAGUUUUUAGGUAAUUGUCGGAGGAAUUCAAAUCGGUGCUUUCACUGAUUUACAUACUUUGGGUAAGUGAAUUGAACUCUCUUCUUCCUUUCUUUGUCAUUUCACAUAAUAUAAUAUAUAUAUAUAGUCGUUGCUUUUCUUUCUUCCAUUUAAUUUUUCACCUUAUUUUGUUAGAGCUUAAUUUUUCAUGUUUCAGAUCUGACCUAGCUAUCAUCUUUGGAAGAAAAUUAUUCUAGAUAAUAAUUAUGACCAUAUCUAACUAUUAUGUUGUUUACCUCAUUUUGCUCCAAUAUUACUUUUUUGGUUCCUUUACACUAGAUCUUCUAGGUACAGAAGAAAAAGAAUAUCAUUGUCUUUUUAGAACUGUUAGGGAUAGUAGCAUUAGUGUUGCAUUUGGAUCGAAGACGUCAUCAUAUGUGAUAAUAUUGAUAGAUAGAGAAUGAAUAUUUGGAAGACAAUAGAUUUUAUCACUAUGUAUGGAUUAGAAUGAAAUAAAAAUAUAUACUCUUUUAUACACUAAUAAUUUUUAUAUUUUAUUUUUUAUUCUAAUUGAUGUAGAUGAAGGAUACAUAUCUCUCGAAG
rnacentral:lncRNA from 1 species